rnacentral:tRNA from 1 species
GAGAAAGUAUGCAAGAACUGCUAACUCAUGCCCCCAAGCUUAACAACUCGGCUUUCUUA